rnacentral:rRNA from 1 species
UACGUAGGGGGCUAGCGUUGUCCGGAUUUAUUGGGCGUAAAGAGCGUGUAGGCGGCCAGGUAGGUCUGGUGUGAAAACUCGAGGCUUAAACCUUGAGAUGUCAUCGGAAACCAUUUGGCUAGAGUCCGGAAGAGGGAAGUGGAAUUCCUGGGUGUGAGCGGUGAAAUGACGCAGAUAUUCGGAGGAACACCAGUGGCGAAGGCGGCUCACUGGUCCAUUACUGACGCUGAGGUGCGAAAGCGUGGGGAGCAAACAGG